UGGGAAUUUUGGACAAUGGGCGCAAGCCUGAUCCAGCCAUGCCGCGUGCGGGAAGAAGGCCUUCGGGUUGUAAACCGCUUUUGUCAGGGAAGAAAUCUUCUGAGUUAAUACCUCGGGAGGAUGACGGUACCUGAAGAAUAAGCACCGGCUAACUACGUGCCAGCAGCCGCGGUAAUACGUAGGGUGCAAGCGUUAAUCGGAAUUACUGGGCGUAAAGCGUGCGCAGGCGGUUUUGUAAGACAGAGGUGAAAUCCCCGGGCUCAACCUGGGAACUGCCUUUGUGACUGCAAGGCUUGAGUGCGGCAGAGGGGGAUGGAAUUCCGCGUGUAGCAGUGAAAUGCGUAGAUAUGCGGAGGAACACCGAUGGCGAAGGCAAUCCCCUGGGCCUGCACUGACGCUCAUGCACGAAAGCGUGGGGAGCAAACAGGAUUAGAUAGCCCUGGUAGUCCACGCCCUAAACGAUGUCAACUGGUUGUUGGGAAGGUUCCUUCUCAGUAACGUAGCUAACGCGUGAAGUUGACCGCCUGGGGAGUACGGCCGCAAGGUU
rnacentral:rRNA from 1 species